rnacentral:rRNA from 1 species
CCCUUAGAUGUUCUGGGCCGCACGCGCGCUACACUGACUACUUCAACGAGUUGUUUCCUUGAUCGAAAGGUCUGGGUAAUCUUUGAAAGGUAGUCGUGAUGGGGAUAGAUCCUUGCAAUUUUUGAUCUUCAACGAGGAAUUCCUAGUAAACGCAAGUCAUCAGCUUGCAUUGAUUACGUCCCUGCCCUUUGUACACACCGCCCGUCGCACCUACCGAUUGAAUGGUCCGGUGAAUCUUUAGGACUGUGGCUGAGGCCUCGCCUUGUGCGGGUCUGGCCGUGGGAAUUUAGUUAAACCUUACCAUUUAGAGGAAGGUGAAGUCGUAACA